AUACGGAGGAUGCGAGCGUUAUCCGGAUUUAUUGGGUUUAAAGGGUGCGUAGGCUGUGCGUUAAGUCAGGGGUGAAAUGCCGUCGCUCAACGACGGAACUGCCCUUGAUACUGGCGUGCUGGAGUACGGAUGCCGUUGGAGGAAUGAGUGGUGUAGCGGUGAAAUGCUUAGAUAUCACUCAGAACACCGAUUGCGAAGGCAUCUGACGAAUCCGUCACUGACGCUGAGGCACGAAAGCGUGGGGAUAGAACAGGAUUAGAUACCCUGGUAUUCCACGCCGUAAACGAUGAUGACUAACCGUCGGCGAUAGACAGCCGGUGGCCAAGCGAAAGCGAUAAGUCAUCCACCUGGGGAGUACGUCGGCAACGAUGAAACUCAAAUGAAUUGGCGGGG
rnacentral:rRNA from 1 species